GCCGGGCGCGGUGGCGCAUGCCUGUAGUCCCAGCUACUCGGGAGGCUGAGGCUGGAGGAUCGCUUGAGUCCAGGAGUUCUGGGCUGUAGUGCGCUAUGCCGAUCGGGUGUCCGCACUAAGUUCGGCAUCAAUAUGGUGACCUCCCGGGAGCGGGAGACCACCAGGUUGCCUAAGGAGGGGUGAACCGGCCCAGGUCGGAAACGCAGCAGGUCAAAACUCACGUGCUGAUCAGAAGGCAUGUUAGCUAGGGAUCCAGUGGUAAGCAAAACAGAUAGGCGCAGUGGCACAUGCCUCGC
rfam:Gorilla gorilla gorilla genomic chromosome, chr6, whole genome shotgun sequence